UUAGUGGCGCACGGGUGAGUAACACGUGGGAACCUGCCUUUCGGUUCGGGAUAACGUCUGGAAACGGACGCUAACACCGGAUACGCCCUUUGGGAGAAAGUUUACGCCGAGAGAGGGGCCCGCGUCCGAUUAGGUAGUUGGUGGGGUAAUGGCCCACCAAGCCACGAUCGGUAGCUGGUCCUGAGAGGAUGAUCAGCCACACUGGGACUGAGACACGCCCAGACUCCUACGGGAGGCAGCUGUGGGGAAUAUUGGACAAUGGGGGCAACCCUGAUCCAGCAAUGCCGCGUGAGUGAUGAAGGCCUUAGGGUUGUAAAGCUCUUUCGCACGCGACGAGAUGACGGUAGCGUGACAAGAAGCCCCGGCUAACUUCGUGCCAGCAGCCGCGGUAAUACGAAGGGGGCGAGCGUUGUUCGGAAUUACUGGGCGUAAAGGGCGCGUAGGCGGCGCAUUAAGUCAGGAGUGAAAGCCCCGGGCUCAACCUGGGAACGGCUCUUGAUACUGGUGCGCUUGAGUUCCGGAGAGGAUGGUGGAAUUCCCAGUGUAGAGGUGAAAUUCGUAGAU
rnacentral:rRNA from 1 species